UACGGAGGGUGCAAGCGUUGCUCGGAAUUAUUGGGCGUAAAGGGUAGGUAGGUGGUCUCAUUUGUCUGGGGUGAAAUCCUUGAGCUUAACUCAAGAAGUGCCUCAGAAAACGGUGAGACUAGAGUUCUGGAGAGGGGUCGUGGGAAUUCCCGGUGUAGCGGUGAAAUGCGUAGAGAUCGGGAGGAACACCAGAGGCGAAGGCGGCGACCUGGACAGAUACUGACACUAAACUACGAAAAGCGUGGGGAG
rnacentral:rRNA from 1 species